rnacentral:rRNA from 1 species
GAUCCUGGCUCAGAAUGAACGCUGGCGGCAGGCUUAACACAUGCAAGUUGAACGGGAUUUGUGUGGUGCUUGCACCAUAUAAUGAGAGUAGCGCACUGGUGAGUAACACGUGGGAACGUACCUUUUGGUGGGGGACAACAUCUGGAAACGGAUGCUAAUACCGCAUAAGACCUGAGGGUGAAAGAUUUAUCGCCGAAAGAACGGCCCGCGGAAGAUUAGGCAGUUGGUGGGGUAAAGGCCUACCAAACCUACGAU